rnacentral:tRNA from 1 species
GGGCCUGUAGCUCAGUUGGUUAGAGCUGCGGACUCAUAAUCCGUCGGUCGCAGGUUCAAGUCCUGCCGGGCCCACCA